rnacentral:rRNA from 1 species
CCUACGGGAGGCAGCAGUGAGGAAUAUUGGUCAAUGGUCGGGAGACUGAACCAGCCAAGCCGCGUGAGGGAGGAAGGUACAGAGUAUCGUAAACCUCUUUUGUCAGGGAACAAAGACUGGGACGCGUCCCCGGUUGAGUGUACCUGAAGAAAAAGCAUCGGCUAACUCCGUGCCAGCAGCCGCGGUAAUACGGAGGAUGCGAGCGUUAUCCGGAUUGAUUGGGUUUAAGGGGUGCGCAGGCGGUCUGUUAUGUCAGCGGUCAAAGCCCGGGGAUCAACCCAGACCCGCCGUUGAAACUGGCAGUCUCGAGUUGGAGAGAGGUAUGCGGAAUGCGCGGUGUAGCGGUGAAAUGCAUAGAUAUCUCGCAGAACUCCGAUGGCGAAGGCAGCAUGCCGGCUCCACACUGACGCUGAGGCACGAAAGCGUGGGGAGCGAACAGGAUUAGAUACCCGAGUAGUC